rnacentral:rRNA from 1 species
UACGAAGGGAGCUAGCGUUGUUCGGAAUCACUGGGCGUAAAGCGCACGUAGGCGGAUGUGUCAGUCAGGGGUGAAAUCCCGGAGCUCAACUUCGGAACUGCCUUUGAUACAGCACGUCUUGAGUCCGAUAGAGGUGGGUGGAAUUCCUAGUGUAGAGGUGAAAUUCGUAGAUAUUAGGAAGAACACCGGUGGCGAAGGCGGCCCACUGGCAUCGGUGAC